rnacentral:rRNA from 1 species
AUUGAACGCUGGCGGCAGGCCUAACACAUGCAAGUCGAGCGGAUGAAGGGAGUUUGCUUCUGGAUUCAGCGGCGGACGGGUGAGUAAUGCCUAGGAAUCUGCCUGGUCGUGGGGGAUAACGUCCGGAAACGGGCGCUAAUACCGCAUACGUCCUGAGGGAGAAAGUGGGGGAUCUUCGGACCUCACGCCAUCAGAUGAGCCUAGGUCGGAUUAGCUAGUUGGUGGGGUAAAGGCCUACCAAGGCGACGAUCCGUAACUGGUCUGAGAGGAUGAUCAGUCACACUGGAACUGAGACACGGUCCAGACUCCUACGGAAGGCAGCAGUGGGGAAUAUUGGACAAAGGGCGAAGGCCUGAUCCAGCCAUGCCGCGUGUGUGAAGAAGGUCUUCGGAUUGUAAAGCACUUUAAGUUGGGAGGAAGGGCAGUAAGUUAAUACCUUGCUGUUUUGACGUUACCAACAGAAUAAGCACCGGCUAUCUUUGUG